GAAUAUGAUCAUACCAGCACCGAUACAUCGGAUUCCAUGAAAACUCCAAAAUUAUACACGUUUGUGUGAGAGUAAUGCUAAGAUGAAAGACCUAGAAAGACCUCAUGUUGCACCCC
rnacentral:rRNA from 1 species